UUGAAAAAUCUACUUAUUUAUUUCUCCUCUAAAUUUUUGUUUUGAGGACAACAUUGCUCUUUACUAUAAAUAUGCAACUUUAACACCUCAAAAUUGGUGUAGGAGGAAAUAUGGCUGGCAACAAAGUUGGUGUAAUAUAUCUUCUCCUUUUGAGUAGUGCAAUCCUACUCUUCAAUCCAGAAAUUGUGAGCGCAAAAGUAUGCCCACAAUAUUGCACACAAGAUGCAGGAUACAUGACCUGCCCAUCUUCAGGAAAUAAGCAACUUAAUCCGCCCUGCAAUUGCUGCUUGGCUCCAAAGGGCUGCACCGUUUACCAUGCCGAUGGAACUGCAAUUUGUACUGGAACUUGAUGUGGUGGACAUGGCGAUCUUUUAUAUAUACAUGUUUGGAGGCAGUGCGUGUUAGAUUUGCAAUAAAAAGCUGUCAGUACUAUGGCUCAAGAAUGUUAAAUAAAUUUAAAAUGUAGAGACUUCUUCAUUUCUCUACGUCAUUAUGUGCACUUGUCUGUCUUCGCUAAUCGUUACUCUUUAACUCAACUCUGUUUCAACGUUGUUAAUCUCCAUUGGAGUUCUACUAAUGUGAAUUAUGACGACUGUUAGAAAAUUGAAUAUGAAAUAUGAAACUUGUUAGAUUUCUUUUUGUCA